rnacentral:rRNA from 1 species
UACGUAGGGGGCUAGCGUUGUCCGGAAUCAUUGGGCGUAAAGCGCGCGUAGGCGGCCCGGUAAGUCCGCUGUGAAAGUCAAAAGCUCAACCUUUGAAUGUCAGUGGAUACUGCCGGGCUAGAGUCCGGAAGAGGCGAGUGGAACUCCUGGUGUAGCGGUGAAAUGCGCAGAUAUCAGGAGGAACACCGGUGGCGAAGGCGGGUCUCUGGGCCGAUAUUGACGCUGAGGAGCGAAAGCGUGGGGAGCGAACAGG